CUCGGGGGUCAUCUGUCCAGCAGGGAAUACUUUCAAAGUUAUUAAGAACUUUUGAAAGUGAAACGUUGUGACUUGUAAAAUAAUUGAAAAGAACCACUCCUGAAGAAAAAGAAAAAAAAGAACCAUAUUUUUCCAAACUAGUAGAGGUUUUUCGCGUAAUGGAAAGGAACAUAAUACCGUUAGAAAAUGAUGAACUUAUAUAUAUAUAUGUACUCAACAACAGCAAUUGAGGGCUUUUCAUUCAGGGUAGCAGUGGGGUACAUGAGAAAUGUAGCAGGAAACAAAACUGGCACGGAAAACUUCACAUGGACCAGGACAUGAGCUGACAGCAACGCUCAGCACAGCGCCACCGUGCCGCUCAAUUUACUUCAUAGGAAUGCAUCUGCGGUGGCACUUGGCCUGCCUUAGAGAGGAUAUGUUGUCACAUAUGAUGGGCCUGCUCCAGAAGAAGCUGCCAGUUUGGAGAACAGUUAUUUUUCUGGUUCCAACUUUCCACGCUUUUAUCUUAUGUUAUAAUAUGUUAGGGGCAAUCCAAAAUGACUCCAAAAUAAAUGGGGUUUAAGUUCAUGUUCAAAUGUUGGCAAUUCAUGACAACAUUUAUCUCCCUCUUUGUGCCGGCAUUGUUGAGAUGAAAAGACUUAAAAACCAUUUUCUUGAGUCUGGUUGAAGGCACUAAGUUCCUUGGAAAUGAGAAAUCCUGAUCAUACCUUUCAUGAGAAUGGAUUCAAUCUCCUGAAAUUCUUGAAGGCUGUACAGAACAGCAGAUUUCAUUUGUAAAGUAACCUUCUCAACUGUGUUUUAGGGAAAUCAUUUAUAAACCGGUUGAAUAAUGAUGGCCGUCUAGGAGACCGAUUCACUAAAAAGAAACCAAUCAUAAUAGAUUGAUUCAUACAAGAGAGCUGUGACCAAUAAGUAUGUCUUUUUAUAGAAAUACACAUAGCUGGUGUUAGAUUUACCGCUUUCUUUUCCCUCCAUAUCCUUGCUUUUAGUUUUUUCUGUGUUUUCUUCCAUUUUAUCUUAUAUCCAUGUUUCCAUAAUUCAGUCCUCCUGCAUGUCACCAAAUUUUGCUGUGGUAUUAGUUCAUAUUCUGCAAAUGUGUUCUUCAGCUCCCUGUUGUGCUUUUCCUUUUGUAAGAUUUGCAGUCUUUGGCCAUUUUGUUUUUUUAUUUUUCUGUCUUUUUCUUGAUUUUAUUACAUCAUCUCAUCAAAGAUGGCAGUGUUGGACCUUUCCAACAACAAAAGGAGAGACUCAAAAAAUGUCUGUUAUCGAAAGAAAGCAUAUUAUUUAUGGGUUUUUAAAAUUUUUUCUUUGGAAGCAAAUUGAUUGAUUAUGAAUUUGGGUUUUUUGUUUUGGUUUUUAGGAAUCCUAAUCUCUAGUUAUUAAACCCUUCAAUUUUUCAUGACCUCACUUUUGUACUGCCACAAAAUCAAGUUCUGUCAUUAAACUAAUAACUAAUCAUGUUGUUUGCACUUUUCACAGAUGAUCACUACACGCUCCUUUCUUUCCAUCACUGCAUCAUUUCACUUUUUACCUCUUUAAUUUAGUGUUGUGCCCUGUAAUGGACUGGCUUCUAAUUCAAAGAUGGUUCUUGACUUGUGUUUGAUGCUCUGAGGAUCAGUUCUGUCUCCCACAAAUCUGAAUUGAAAUGAAUGAAGGGGUAUUUUAAUUUUUUAAGAUGCCAAGUUAUGCACAAACUAGAUGGCCAAUAGGCAGCUAGGAAAGUUGGAAUUUGCAGCAGGACAGCUAUGGAGUGGCUAUAAGUAAACUUUGGAGAUCAUUCUGAGUGAGCAGACCCCCCUUUAUAAAAAGAUGGCUUGGUUGAUUCCCAAACAUAAUACAACUUGUUGUUCGAAUAGUGCACUCUGGGGUGCCCUUUAAGGAAGAAAAGAAAACUCAGCAGAAACAUUCUGCAAGGACACUUCAAUUAACCAAAUCAGUUUUAGUAUCAAAUGUUCUUAAUCCAGCCAAAAAUAACGAGACUCUGAAUGAGUCCUUUGCAAAAACGGGCAGUUAAUUCUGUCCACACCUAGCGAUGCAAGUUAAGCUCCGUACACAAAGCAUAUCGUAUCAACUCUGUAAUGCUGCCAAACAAAAAUCAGGAAGUUCUUUUUUAAAGAAUGGCCUGUAUUCCUGAUGAUAAGCUAGAUGGAAGCUAAAUAAUGUUUUCACAGACGCUUGAUACAUUUGGUCAUAGGCGUUCUUGAUUGUUUCACUGGGUGAUUUAAUUGCAAUGGCAUAUGUUUAUGCAUAUUUCCAGUGUUGCUCAUAGGCAGGCAAAUUGGGGUUUUUACUGAUGAUUGGGAGCAGUGAUCAUUAUUUUCAGAAACAUAGAUAUUCAAUAAAGUAUUGUACUCAUACAUUACUGAGCGGUAUGAAGGGCAGAUAGUUCAAUGGGAAGUAAGAGGAGGGAGCAUCAUUUAGGAGAUCUUGGAGGUAACUGAAUCUCAAGAACACAUGAUCAUGUGUGUAGUAUUGAGUGAUAAAAUAAUUCAUCAUCAACCUAUGCACCUUUUGCUCAAGUUUUUAUGGUUAUCUAAAAGGAGCCUACCCCAGCAACAAAACAGGACUCAAACAUGAAUUGGAUUGAUACAGUCAUGGGCGUUUCCAUGGAUGAUAUUAAGCUGUCUGAUCAACCUACAGUAAGAUGGAAACACAUGAAAAUACUAGGACAAGAGAUCAAUGAGAAUUGGGACACUAUGAGCUAAUUCAUGCAAUCCAUUUAAUAGUGGUGUUUCUAAGAAAGAAAGCAUUGUGGCUGGUGGCACAUUUUAUUCUUACUCCAGUUGAUUGAGGUCUUUCUGACUGGAGACAUAAGUGAAGGACUCUAAGAUUUCUGGGCCAACCUCAGAUUUUGAUCCCAUGCAGUACUCCAGCUGAACUCAAUGAGUGACAGGCUUACUGCUUGCACACAACAAAGAACAUUUCUUUGGACUGUAUUUAAAAACCUACUUCAGCAUGGAGAGAACAUGAAAACUCCAUACUGGAGGCCCCAUGACAAACAUAAUUAUUAUUAUUUAAACAGUCACCUUUAUCCAAGGCAACUUAUAAAGCAAGUUUAAUACAUACAAGAAUAAAGUUGCAAGCAUCAAAGCAACAGAGAAAAGAAUAAUAAAAUGAGCACAAGGGGGGUAUAAUGACUUCAUAAUUACCUACUACAAUAAUAAGACAAAAACACACGAAAAUCAGUAUCCUAAACUGUUUGUCAGUACAACAGCAGCUAACCUAUAGGAGAAAGUUUAAGCAGACCCAAAAUAUUUAAUGGAAAGUUGUUUUCUACAAUGUAAUCUAGGCAUUAGGAGUUUUCCACUAUGGCACUCUAUAAUAAAAAAAUGAAUUGAAUGAAUCAGUUAGAAUGGAUCUGUUUGCUUACUCACAAUACUUUGCCUCUGAAUUAAUAUUGAGCAGUAUUUCUUUCUGUUUAGUGUUUGUCUGUUAAUUCUGAGAACUCUGGUUUCGAUUCACAUAUGUACUACCAAAUUGAUUGAAACUAUAAAUGUAUCCUGUGUGAAUGUAUAUGCUCUGUGAAGGUUGGCUUCUUUAAAUCUGCUGC